GCUGAUUCGUGCAGCACAGCUGAUUUCUGCACCUCCACUAUUCUACUUUACCGGGGCUGUCUUAGAAGCCUGUAGGGCAGCGGUUCUCAACCUGUGGUCGGGAUCCCAUUGGGGGUCGAAUGAUGAUUUGCCAGGGGUCACCUAAGACCAUCGGAAAUAUGGGAAGUAUACUUGCGAGUCGAAGAAUCGCGCUUCAAUGGUUGACUCCACAAGCCAGCUGCAGGCUCUUCAAAUCGCUAGCCGAAUUCGGCUUCAGGAGGCAACUGGACUUCCUUGUUUUUUUCCUUUGAAGACGUUUCACUUCUCAUCCAAGAAGAUUCUUCAGCUUCAACUAGAUGGAAAAGGAUUGCUGUUCCUUUGUUGAAUCGAAACACCAACAGCUUUAUUCCAUUUUUUUUUACCAUUUUAACAACAAAAUACUGUAUGCCAAGGCAUGUGCUAGGAAGUUUCUGUUUAUUUAAAACACAUUUAUAAGCAAGUAAAUGCAAACAAUUGUUUCCCAUAACCAAAUCAGCUCAACUUAGGGUAAAGAAUUUGUUAAACAUUCUGUCAUGGCUUCAUAUCAUUUCAAAGAUUCCCCUUGCCUGAGUCAGCCAUCCCUAACUUCUGUGCAAUUUUCAUUUUCGGCACUGAAAAUAAAUUACAUUAUUAUUUAUUUUUAAAUAGCAAUACUUUCAUAGCCACUCAGAAAAAAUAUAUAUUCAUGUACACUCAGUUCUUGUCUUCCUAGUUAGACUGUGAGGUGAAACAUAACAUCUGUGGAACUGGGUUUGUGUCAAGGCCAUUGCUGCAGCUAAGAUGCAAGUUUCAAAUAAUUCCAUUAUUAAUUAAGAUUAAUUGGCCUAGAAUUAAACCAGCAUAACUGAUGGCUAUGAAUAUUUGGUUAUCUCUAAUGAUACUAUUUAAUCUGAGUUUGGGAUGAGGCUCCAACAGCUUCCAGAAGUCCUUUGCUGAGCAAGACUAGAAAUGAAUCUGUAAUUUAAUUAGAAAUGAAUCUCCAGUUCAUGAAUAGCCAGUUUAUUCAAGGUGCUGU